AACGAACGCUGGCGGCGUGCCUAACACAUGCAAGUCGAACGGGAAUGUUUCCUUCGGGGAACUAGUACCGUGGCGCACGGGUGAGUAACACGUAGGUGACCUGCCUCUCGCUGGGGAAUAACUCCGGGAAACCGGAGCUAAUACCGCAUACGCCCCGCAUUUCAUUAUGCUGGGGAAAGAUGGCCUCUCCAUGGAAGCUAUCGGCGAUAGAUGGGCCUGCGUACCAUUAGCUAGUUGGUAGGGUAAUGGCCUACCAAGGCUACGAUGGUUAGCUGGUCUGAGAGGAUGAUCAGCCACACUGGAACUGAGACACGGUCCAGACUCCUACGGGAGGCAG
rnacentral:rRNA from 1 species